CGCCUAUUAUAACUUCAAUAGGUAGCCUCUGCCCAAUGAGAAGUUAAAUGGCCGCAGUAUACUGACUGUGCUAAGGUAGCAUAAUAAUUUGCCCUUUAAUUGGGGGCUGGAAUGAAUGAAUUGACGAAGGGAAAGCUGUCUCAUCAGAGUUUAUAGAACUUUAUAUCUGAGUAAAAAAGCUCAGAUGCUGCAGGGGGACGAUAAGACCCUAAAAGCUUAACCUCUAUAAUUCAAUCUUAAUUUAACAAUUUUGAAAGUAACAGGUUUUCACUGGGGCGGUGCCUCUUUCUAACAAGAGUUUUCUCAACACACUGAGUGAUUUUAUUUAACUUUAAUUAAAUACCUAAUUAAGUUACUUUAGGGAUAACAGCGUAAUUUUUUGCUAGAGCCCUUAUCGACCAAAAAGAUUGCGACCUCGAUGUUGAAUUGGGACCCCGCUUUAGUGCAGCAUUUAAGAGCGGAAGACUGUUCGUCUUUUAAACCCCC
rnacentral:rRNA from 1 species